GUGAGUAACGCGUAUGUAACCUACCCUGUACAGGGGGAUAACCCGGAGAAAUUCGGACUAAUAUCCCAUAGAAAUAUUGGAAGGCAUCUUUUGAUAUUUAAAGUUCCGGCGGUACGGGAUGGGCAUGCGUAACAUUAGCUAGUUGGUAAGGUAACGGCUUACCAAGGCUUUGAUGUUUAGGGGUCCUGAGAGGGUGGUCCCCCACACUGGUACUGAGACACGGACCAGACUCCUACGGGAGGCAGCAGUGAGGAAUAUUGGUCAAUGGGCGCAAGCCUGAACCAGCCAUCCCGCGUGCAGGAAGACGGCGCUAUGCGUUGUAAACUGCUUUUCCAGGGGGAGAAACUUGCGCACGUGUUGCGCAAUUGACGGUACCCUGGGAAUAAGCAUCGGCUAACUCCGUGCCAGCAGCCGCGGUAAUACGGAGGAUGCGAGCGUUAUCCGGAUUCAUUGGGUUUAAAGGGUGCGUAGGCGGACUAUUAAGUCAGUGGUGAAAUCCUGCAGCUUAACUGCAGAACUGCCAUUGAUACUGAUAGCCUUGAGUUUGGUUAAAGGUAGGCGGAAUGUGUAAUGUAGCGGUGAAAUGCUUAGAUAUUACACAGAACACCAAUUGCGUAGGCAGCUUACUGAGCCGACACUGACGCUGAGGCACGAAAGCGUGGGGAUCGAACAGGAUUAGAUACCCUGGUAGUCCACGCCGUAAACGAUGAUUACUCGCUGUUGGCGAUACACUGUCAGCGGCUAAGCAAAAGCAAUAAGUAAUCCACCUGGGGAGUACGGCCGCA
rnacentral:rRNA from 1 species